rnacentral:rRNA from 1 species
GGAGGAACACCGGUGGCGAAGGCGACUUUCUGGCCCUAUACUGACGCUGAGACGCGAGAGCGUGGGUAGCAAACAGGAUUAGAUACCCUGGUAGUCCACGCUGUAAACGAUGUUCACUAGGUGUUGGGGGUAUUGACCCUCUCAGUGCCGAAGCUAACGCAUUAAGUGAACCGCCUGGGGAGUACGGUCGCAAGAUUAAAACUCAAAGGAAUUAACGGGGGCCCGCACAAGCGGUGGAGCAUGUGGUUUAAUUCGAUGCAACGCGAAGAAGCUUACCUAGGCUUGACAUCCCUGGAAUUCUGUGGAAACACAGAAGUGCCUUUCGGGGAACCAGGAGACAGGUGCUGCAUGGCUGUCGUCAGCUCGUGUCGUGAGAUGUUGGGUUAAGCCCCGCAACGAGCGCAAACCCUAUCUUUAAUUGCCAGCAUUCAGUUUGGGCACUUUAACAGAGACUGCCGGUGUUAAACCGGAGGAAGGUGGGGAUGACGGUCAGUCCUCAUGGCCUUUAUGCUUAGG